UACGUAGGGGGCUAGCGUUGUCCGGAAUCAUUGGGCGUAAAGCGCGCGUAGGCGGCCCGGUAAGUCCGCUGUAAAAGUCAAAGGCUCAACCUUUGAAUGUCAGUGGAUACUGCCGGGCUAGAGUCCGGAAGAGGCGAGUGGAAUUCCUGGUGUAGCGGUGAAAUGCGCAGAUAUCAGGAAGAACACCGGUGGCGAAGGCGGAUCUCUGGGCCUUACCUGACGCUCAGGUGCGAAAGCUAGGGGAGCGAACAGG
rnacentral:rRNA from 1 species